CAGCCGCCGCGGGAAUACAGAGGGAGCAAGCGUUAAUCGGAAUUACUGGGCGUAAAGCGCGCGUAGGUGGUUUGUUAAGUUGGAUGUGAAAGCCCCGGGCUCAACCUGGGAACUGCAUCCAAAACUGGCAAGCUAGAGUACGGUAGAGGGUGGUUGAAUUUCCUGUGUAGCGGUGAAAUGCGUAGAUAUAGGAAGGAACACCAGUGGCGAAGGCGACCACCUGGACUGAUACUGACACUGAGGUGCGAAAGCGUGGGGAGCAAACAGGAUUAGAUACCCCAGUAGUCCCUGUCUCUUAUAC
rnacentral:rRNA from 1 species